rfam:Danio rerio chromosome 4, GRCz11 reference primary assembly.
GCCUUCUUGACGCAGUAGGCAGCGCAUCAGUCUCAUAAUCUGAAGGUCGUGAGAUCGAGCCUCACAUGGGGCA